rnacentral:rRNA from 1 species
AACGAACGCUGGCGGCAUGCCUAACACAUGCAAGUCGAACGAGACCUUCGGGUCUAGUGGCGCACGGGUGCGUAACGCGUGGGAACCUGCCCUUAGGUUCGGAAUAACUCCCCGAAAGGGGUGCUAAUACCGAUAAUGUCUUCGGACCAAAGAUUUAUCGCCUUUGGAUGGGCCCGCGUUGGCUUAGCUAGUUGGUAGGGUAAAAGCCUACCAAGGCGACGAUCCAUAGCUGGUCUGAGAGGAUGAUCAGCCACACUGGGACUGAGACACGGCCCAGACUCCUACGGGAGGCAGCAGUGGGGAAUAUUGGACAAUGGGCGAAAGCCUGAUCCAGCAAUGCCACGUGAGUGAUGAAGGCCUUAGGGUUGUAAAGCUCUUUUACCCGGGAUGAUAAUGACAGUACCGGGAGAAUAAGCACCGGCUAACUCCGUG